CCGCUGCCUUGUGAAGAUGUCUGCUUCCCGUUCCACCAUGAUUAGUUUCCUGAGGCCUCCUCAGCCAUGUGGAACUAUGGAGUCUCGCUCUGUUGCUAGGCUGGAGUACAGUGGCGCCAUCUCGGCUCACUGCAAUCUCCACCUUGCAGGCAGAAGCGAUUAUCCUGCCUCAGCCUCCGGAGUAGCUGGGACUACAGGCACGCACCACCACAUCCAGCUAAUUAUUAUUAGUAGAGAUGGGGUUUCACCAUGUUGGCCAGGAUGGUCCCCAUCCCUUGACCUCGUGAUCUCCCUGCCUUAGCCUACCAAAGUGCUGGGAUUACAGGCUCACGCCUGUAUUAUAUUAUAUCUUGAUAUAAUACAAUAUCUUGAUAUUAUAUGCAAUUAUAUCUUGAUAGCAUAUGUAUGCUUCUGUAUAGAAUGAUUUUAACUAUAAUGAUAAAUAAUGGACACCCGCAUAUGUAUUUAGCUGUGUGUAUUUGUGUGGUCAUAAAAGGUGAUGCUGUGAAGUGAUUAACAGCUUAGACUUCUUCAUGACUAGUUGUGCCAUUUUUUGAAUAUUAUCACUUUGGUUAAGUUGUUCAAACUCUCUAACAUUUAGCUUCUGCAUCUGUAAUAAUAGAUACCUUAUAGAGUUGUUAGGUGGUUAAGCACUGCAUAGAUUGCCUCGGCCAUCAUAAGCCUCACAUGAGCAUUAGCUAUUGUUAUGUGAAUCAUGAGUACUUCAAUACAGGCAUAACUUUUUAAAAUGUAGAUUGAUCUAUGCAAAUCUUGUGGCAUGAAGUAUAUUUCAAAAUAAAAAUAAAAUAUUCUCAGAAUCAUAAGGCAGGAUGAUAGUCAAUAUAAUGAUAGUCAAUCUCUCUGCUUCUAGGGAAAAAUACACAUCACACAUCCAAGAUCAUAUUACUAAAAUUAUUCGAUAUGUGCACAUAGACAUGAAUAAAAAUAAUAUUAUUGAUAUUUUAAAUUAUAGAGAAGAAAUGUCAGCACCCUCACUCUGUACUGUUUCAUUCUUAUCUGACUGGUAUAUUUUAAGUUUUCAUGAAUAUCUAUGAAACAAAGAAAUGUACUGUCCUUGAUCCCCUCACUGCCAUGAAAAAAAAACAGCUACAUAUAAUUUAAUAAAAAUAAACUUAGUUCUUGAUUCUCAAAUUGAAUCUUAACUUUUUUGGGUUAUAAUUCUCUCACAACUUACCAAACUAUUUAGAAGUCAAGGUACAUAAGAAAUGUGUAGUUUUGUUUCUAUGUGUGAGGAUCUCAAGCAAGGGGAUCUUUUUUUUUUCAAGUUCUUUCAAUG
rnacentral:lncRNA from 1 species